rnacentral:lncRNA from 1 species
AUGAGAUCGUGCUCCAAGAACCGGUCGUUCUGCUGGACCCACGGGCUCCUGGUAUUCAUCAGCCUGCUCCUCAGUGUCUGCAGCUCUGCAGCCAACACUUCUGGAGCACAUGGCUCUGCAGUGAAGGAUUCUGGGAACCACAUUCAUCUGAAGUGCAUCCGAGGAGGUUUUGUCUUGUUUAAUGUGACCGAGAAGCACAGGGCAGAUGCAGGAGCCGAAGUGCAGGAGGUUGCAUGGGGUUUGGGCACUCCGUUAAAUCACACACAGGUGCUGCAAGUCCGUAGGGGAGCCGACUCUCCCAUCUGGUUGAGCCUCCAGGACAAGUUCAAGCAGAGGGUCCAUGUGCCCAGCAUGUGGUCUCUGAGGAUUGAGAACCUGGCCCCUGAAGACAGUGGGCAGUACGUGGCCAUGAUCCGCUUAACUCAGGGAAAAAUGCUUGGCCAGGUUUUCUACCUGACUGUCUAUGAUCCUGUGCCUCACCCUGAGAUCCUGGCCAAGUCACUGUCUAUCAUACCAGGCCUGUGUAACAUCACUCUGGAAUGCAGGGCUCCAGGGGCCACCCAGGACCUGAAUGUGACUUGGGAGAGCAAGGGCCUCUUCAGAGAGCUGGAGCAGAGAGACACAUCAGGACCAACCGCCAAGCUUUGGACCCUGGCUGUGAGCCUGCCCCUGAACCAGCGGAUCGGCAAUCUCACCUGUGUGGUCAGCAACCAGGUGGAUCAGAAAGCUGCAACCUUAGACCUUGGGAAAGUCUGUGCCCAAGCUCCUUCCUGCACUGUCUAUCUCAUGCUGCAGUGGGGUGCCGGCAACUCCCAGAGCUGGUGUCUUGACACAGCCAUUUCGGGACCUUGGAGCUCUUCCUUCCAGGAAUGCCCUACCCUGAAUAUCUGAGAAAUUCCUGCUCUAGCCUCAAGCCUCAGUUUAGCCAUCACCUCCUC